CCUACGGGAGGCAGCAGUGGGGAAUUUUGCGCAAUGCUCGUAAGAGUGACGCAGCGACGCCGCGUGAAUGUCGAAGGCCUUCGGGUCGUAAAGUUCUUUCGACAGGGAAGAAAAUGCCUAUAAGUAACUGUGUAUGUAUUGACGGUACCUGUAUAAGCAGCCCCGGCUAACUCCGUGCCAGCAGCCGCGGUAAUACGGAGGGGGCGAGCGUUGUUCGGUGGGACUGGGCGUAAAGAGCACGUAGGCGGUGUUGUAAGUCAUUAGUCAAAGACUAGAGCUCAACUUUAGUAAGGCUAGUGAUACUAUAAUACUAGAGUAUCAGAGAGGAUUGCAGAAUUCCUGGUGUAGCGGUGAAAUGCGUAGAUAUCAGGAGGAAUACCGUUAGCGAAGGCGGCAAUCUGGCUGGAAACUGACGCUGAGGUGCGAAAGCGUGGGUAGCAAACAGGAUUAGAUACCCCGGUAGUC
rnacentral:rRNA from 1 species